CGCACAUUGCGCCCCUUGGUAUUCCGAGGGGCAUGCCUGUCCGAGCGUCAGUUCAACAAUCAAGCAACGCUUGGUGUUGGGCCCGCGGCCUCUUCCACCGAAGAGGCCCGCCCGAAACGCAUCGGCGAGGAGACCGACCCCCGGCGUCUUGAGAAUCUCACGGUUCGCACGUCGGGAGCACCGGUGGCCUCCGCCGCGAUCAAUCUUUAACCAGGUUGACCUCGGAUCAGGUAGGGAUACCCGCUGAACUUAA
rnacentral:misc_RNA from 1 species